UGCGUAGGCGGCAUUAUAAGUCAGAGGUGAAAGCUUACAGCUUAACUGUGAAAUUGCCUUUGAAACUGUAAUGCUUGAAUCACGUUGAGGUCAGCGGAAUGUGACAUGUAGCGGUGAAAUGCAUAGAUAUGUCAUAGAACACCAAUUGCGAAGGCAGCUAGCUAGGCGUGUAUUGACGCUGAGGCACGAAAGCGUGGGGAGCGAACAGGAUUAGAUACCCUGGUAGUCC
rnacentral:rRNA from 1 species